CAUGUUUUGUAGAGGGAAAGUUAAGUGUGAUCCCUCACUGCACAGUGGUGAAAACCGACAGCAAAAGGAUGUUACGAAGAGUUGUGCGAACCUCCUCGACAAGAAAAUAGGACUAUAAAUCUUUGCCUGGAGAAAGGACAAACAGCUUGCUUCUAAAGGAGAAGACAAAAAGUGAAAAAGCCAAACAAGGAAAGAAAAAAGGAAGACUGAAUAUAAAGGAGUGCCUUAAAAGUGAGAGAAGUAGAAGGAACGCAAUUAAAAGCACUUUGUUAAAGGGGAAAGAAGACAUGAGACCAAUAAAGAAACCAAGAGGCCGGGGAAGGAAAAGGGGGGGCCCGCAUUCUCCCCCAGAGAAGGACGCCAAAAGAUUCAGGAGGGAAACACUUGUCAAGACGACAGAGCACACAACCAAAACAUUGAGUAGUCCUUCCCCACGCAAACACACUCCGCCCAUCGCCUACAGCACUAACAAGGAGCCAAUGAUAAGCAGCAGUGCACCCUUGGUAGGGCCUGUUGCACUGAGGCAACCUGUGGAGUCAGUCGAGAAGGACACAAAGCAACCACAAGAAAAGACAGAGAAGAAAAUGAUAGGCACAAAUGGAACUAGCACUACGUCUGCAGAAAGCGGAGCAUCUUCUACCUCUCCUUCAGCACCCGUCUCCACAGCCAUGCCCCCGGCAGCCACAAAUCACAGCCACGUCACCACCUCGGUCUCAAGUAGGAAAACAGCCACUUUCAAAGCCCGCAUCCCCAAGAAGAAAUAUACAUAUGAGCACUUUGUGAAUAACGCCCUGACUGCCAUUAAUGCCCCCAGCCCUGAUUCUUCUCAAAACAACUACAAUAUCAACAACAAAGCCAGUGACAGUAUCCACAAGAUUAAUAAUAUCAAACAUAGCAACAUUAAUAGUGAUAGUAAUGAUAAAAGCGCCAUCAGCAACAUGGUCAAUAGUAGCAGGAAUAAUUUUCUCAAUAACAUUUGCAGUAAAAAUAGUACUUGCUCAGGUAAUAUUCCCCCACAGCUAACUGUGGGUAGUAAUGCAACACAAGUGAAUCACUUUAUCCCUAUGGACAGCAGGGCUCUCAGGACAGAGGGCUCCCAAAAGGAGCCCAUCGAGAAUGAGUCUGAAGGAACGCCAAACUCAGUGCACUCCUCGUCCACUGAUACGGCCAGCGAGCACUCAGCCGAGCUGGACACGGUGGAGGCCACAGGACCAAAUCAUUCAAGUCAUUCUAACUUUCCCACCCCCCUUUGCCACUCAUCACCCAAGGGGGUCAGCCAUUCAGAUGGACUUGCUCAAGCGCUGGCCAAAGGCAUGAAAAACCAGAGGGUUCUUGCCUGUCAGAUAAAGAAGAGUGUGGAGAGUGGGGUGAAUGGGAAGGACUUGGGUGCACUGUCCCGUGUGUUUAAGCCUGGUGUAGUGCGCUGUGUGAGUGGAGGGACAGUUGAAGUCCAGCUCCAAGGAGAAGAGAGACUUGUUCAAUACCCUUUCCAUGGUGAUACUGUGAUUACAUCAUCGCCUGAGGCCAAGAACACUGUGGAGUUAAUUUUGGAUGCCCCCCCACCUGGCAUGGCACCUGUGGCUGUGGGAACACAAGUGUGUGUGCCAUUUGGUGGAGAAGAGGGAGGGCCUCUGUUUUACAGAGAAGGAAUUGUGACACAGGUGGACCCCCACCCUGGGGUGUCAUUUCCCUACCGGGUGCUCCUCGAUGAACAGAUUCUGGAUAAGCAGAAAACUGGCAAGGAGAACGAAAGACUGGCCGUUUGGGUGUCUCGACAGAGCCUGAGACUGCUCAC
ensembl:lncRNA